rnacentral:lncRNA from 1 species
AACAACUCCCAAAUCUGCAAAAUAACAACUAAACACAGUAAAAAUGCUUCAAAACGACUAAAGAAUACACAAAUCUAAGCCCAAGUAUAUCCAAUUCAUGAGUAUAUUACCCAAUCAUCAAAUACCCCCAACUUAAAUCGUUGCUUGUUCUCAAACAACAAAACAUAAAACAACAUGACAAACUAAACAAAAAUGCGAAUGCACCUAAAACUAUCUACAUGUUCGUAAUUCCAGCAAUCAAAUAGCACAUGUAUAUUCAUUAAGCCUCAGAAAAAUCACAAUAACAUGCUAGUACCUCAUAUCAAAACAGAUUAAUAAUAUCCCAACACUCAAUAAAUCUACAUCUGUUAUUACUGAUAUCGUGCGUGUGUGUUCAACAACCAUGCUAACCAACGAUAAGCCAAAUAUGAAACAUAAUAGAUUUCUUAGAAUGCAUCAUACAGUUUAAUUUCAGAAACUCCUCAAAUAAACUAGAUUUGGCCAAAAUCAAACAUUUACCAAAGUCCAAGGGUCAACAUGGAAUACCUAUGCUUUACUAAUAUAUAUAUUUUUUAUUAACGGGGGCUUUUUACACUUUUCCUACUUUAUAAAUUUUUAUUUUUAUUUUCUCAUAGCCAUGCUUUAUCCUAUUCCCUUAGGCUUUCCAGUGUUACCUUAACGAGCUUUCGACCAACGACUCCCAAACCAUUAAGACCUUAGGGCGCUAGGUGUAAAGACAAUCCCCUCGGGCUUACUUACUCAAGUAACAAAGGCCACAAAACUAGACAAGCAUGCCACGGGAUUUUUUUUUAUAUUAUAUACUCCAAAUAUUUUCCCCCCAAACUUAAAUUUAUAUCUAAUUUCAGCCAUCACUAGUUAUUCAAAUUGUGCCUUCAUUUCACUAGCAUUCAUCCUGUAGAACUCUAUUAUCUAUCCAUUUAAACUUUCUUAGCCAACAUAGUCAUUUUUCAAAAUGUGCUAUCCUGAUAAUAUCAGUGUCAAAUAGAUAAAGAUUUAAAUUAUGUCAAGGAAAUCACAUCACUAGCUUAAUAAUCCGUACUAGACUUUUUCAUGCAAUUUUAAUUUCAUCAUUGGCCCCAAACAUACGUAACUAUUAAACAGCUGGAAUUAAUAUACAAUCCUAAAUGCAACACUUAACCAACAAUAAAAACCAAAAUUAUCCAUAAACUACUAACAAUCUACUAAUGCAAAUAAAAAUUAACUACCCCCAAACUUAUCAAGAGCAAUGUCCUCAUGCGAAAAAUUUAGCAAAAAAAAUAAUAGAGGACUUCCCUGAUGAGCUUAUUCCUCGGGUGCAACAUCAUCAUCCUCGCUCAUCUCUUGAUCGGAAGGGGGAAACACAGGUAGAACAGGAGCAGUAGAGAACUGGCUAAGAUUAACGCCCGGAUACAGUUGAACGUUCAUGGCAUUUUAGGGAGCAAAUUGGUCGACCAAAUAUUUGUAUAUGACAUCUUGACGUUUAGACAGGCGGACAUUCUGUGAUUCUAAAUUAUAGAACCACCCGUCAAUUUCACGUUGGACAGCUUCAGGGACAACACCGCGGUGAGCUGCGGAGGAAGGACCAUAUGUGGGUGGGGCUUGAGCUGGUGGACUAGGU